UCAGAGGCUGGGAAGGAAGGACCAGAGGCCUUCAGGAAUCGUGCGGGACACCGACCCAUCACAUGCUCACCUUCUGACGCACAGUCUCCUUAGCCCUUCUGCUCGAGUAAAGACCGCACAACACAGAACAGAGAGGCGUGUGGCUGGUGCAGACAGGACUUUGGGGAGAGAAAUAGAUAACGUGGGGUUUCUUUCUGUUCUUCUAUGGAGAUAGGAUUGACAGAAUACUGUAUGAGCUUUAGGUACAUAAUGUCUUAAUUUUAAUAAUUCGCAUAUUUAAAUUUUUUUUAACAUUUAUUUUCGAGAGACAGAGAGAGACACAGAAUCCGAAGCAGGCUCCAGGCUCCGAGCUGUCAGCACAGAGCCCGAUGCGGGGCUCGAACCCACGAACCAAGAGAUCAUGGCCUGAGCCGAAGUUGGACGCUUCACCGACGGAGCCCCCCGGGCGCCCCUAAUUCACACAUUUAAUACCACUCGAGAAAAUAGAAGAGAAAAACAAACUUUCCACAUGAAAGAUUCGUGGUCAGUUUUAGAGGUGUGGGGAGAUCUCUGGAGGAGGGAGCUCUGGAGCAGCGACCCUAUGCCAGGCCUGGGCUCAUGUGCCACUGAGAGUGGGGCCCUGGGACGCCACCCUCACCACACAGUCAGUGACCACGGGCCCCCUCUGCACCUGCUAGGCAUCGCGCAGCAUCCCCUUCCCGCGGUGUGUCUGCGUCCACACGUCUGCACACGUCUAGCUGUCGUCCCAGCUAGACUCGCGUCACCGGCACUUUCCUUACCACCCAUUCUCCUGGAUGGGAGGCAAGCCCACCCCCCACGGGGAGUCGCUGAGCCCAGAGCAGCGGGGCCACGGAGAAGGGUGGGGAUCCCAGAGCCCCGCCACCGGGGCCUGUGUCCUGCCUCACCUAGAGUAUGGCUGGGGCGAGUUCCUCCCGCCCUGGGCCGAAGUGCCCCCCGCUGUAAAGUAAGGGCCCUCUCAGUUCCCAUCUCACAGGGCACUUGUGGUUGGAUGACAACAUUUAUAGCAUGCGAGGCACCACAUGCCAGCUCUGGGAUCAUUAAACCAAGAAGAAUACCCCCUGCCCCCCAUAUGCACCUCUCUGCCCCAAGGUCUUCAGCGCCCUGUGGCACACAGGACACACUCGCAGGGCCUGCUGGAGCAGCUGUAGGUCAGGUCCUCCUUUGGCAAGCGGGAUAGCGGUGGCCGCGUCACAGAGUGGCCAUGAGGAACGGCACCACGACAGCGCAGACGAGUGGCUGGUCACCAAGGAAGCAGCCCCCCCACACCAGCCCGCCCGCGUCUCCCGCGGGGGUCUUGCGGUCUCCCUGCGCCACUCGCUGCCCUCCCGGGCUUGCCCGUCGGGGGACAUCUGUGCCUGGCGUCACCCCGCCCCGACUCCGGCCUCCGCUGGGGGCCCCGCCAUCACCGCCGGCCUGGGCCUGUUACCCCGCGGCUCAUCCUAAUCCCGCGGCCUUUCCUCCACCGUUCAAGAUGGCGCUUGGGCUCCACAACCCAGCGAACGCGGCCAAGGGCACAGGGCAAAUGAGCGUGUAUCCUUCCGACGAGGUCAGAACCCGGCACUUUCACUUCUGCUCACCUGGCAGGCUCCGCACACGGCCACGGCGAGCCUCACUGACAACGGGGAAAUCCGAAUUUCCAGGUGGCCUUGGGCCUAGCUGAAGAUCGGGCUUCUACCCCCGAGGACAAGGCAGGCGAGCGAGCACUGGGAAACGACUCUGCCGCAGCAAAAUUAACACCACCCACCAACCCUCUGUCCCACAUGCGAUGCGGCACCCACAUCCAGGGUCCACGUUUCCCUUAGAGGCGUUAGCAUGUCUGCGUGGAGCUCAAGUAAAGAAAACCCCGGAAAUGCCCCAUGGUUCACUCUUGGCAGCUUUCAAAACUGCUGGAAAAAUCCAGAGAGUUUCCAAGAAGCCGCCAGGGGAGCUCACAACCUGCCCGGAUCUCUGGCGGCCGCCUGUGAGCUUUUCUCUCCGACCCCCCCGCCCCCUUUGCAGGUGGACUGGAGGGUCCCUGUGUGUCCGUCCAGGCGCCCAAGGAAAGGCCCCACCUGCGAGGCCCUGGAGGCCUUCUAUCUUCAAAAAACAAAGUAAUUCACUUUUAAUGACCGCCAGUGUUUUCCUUCCCAGUUCUCUUUGAGCAGAUAAUGCGUCUGAGGCCUUCCCGACAGGGUUAAACCACCGUGACCUUCAUAAUCAGAGAACAGAAAUAAAUUAUAUUUACUCGUAAA